UACGUAGGUGGCAAGCGUUGUCCGGAUUUAUUGGGUUUAAAGGGUGCGUAGGCGGUUUUUUAAGUCAGUGGUGAAAUACGGCAGCUCAACUGUCGAGGUGCCAUUGAUACUGGGAAACUUGAGUACUGAUGAGGUAGGCGGAAUGGACGGUGUAGCGGUGAAAUGCUUAGAGAUCGUCCAGAACACCGAUAGCGAAGGCAGCUUACUAAAGAGUAACUGACGCUGAGGCACGAAAGUGUGGGGAUCAAAC
rnacentral:rRNA from 1 species